CCCUGACAGUUACAUAGUGUAACUGACUCUAGCCACGACAGGAGACAAGCAUG
rnacentral:ncRNA from 1 species